GUUGAAAUUCAUAGUUACUUCCUAAGCCAACCUAGGGUUUGUCCUUUCUCACCAUCUCCACCACUGCAACAAUGUUCGGAGCUCAGCCCUCCUCCGCCUUCGGCACUCCAUCAUUCGGCACACCUUCGUCAACCCCAGCAUUCGGCACACCUUCGUCGACCCCAGCAUUCGGCACACCUUCAUCAACCCCAGCAUUCGGCACACCU
rnacentral:misc_RNA from 1 species